GAUUUCUGGUUUGACACGCCUGGCCCGCCACGGUUACGUGUGUGAGUGCCGGUGCGUGUCUGCCAUCCUUCUGGAAAACGUGUCUACCCUUCACUGGGCCGGAUACGCGCUCCAGAUCAUUUACUUUGAAAAAAUUAGAGUGUUUAAAGCAGGCUUAUGCUAUGAAUACAUUAGCAUGGAAUAAUAAUUUAGGACUUUGAUCUUAUUUUGUUGGUUUCUAGGACUAAAGUAAUGAUUGAUAGGGACAGUUGGGGGUGCUAGUAUUCAGCGGCCAGAGGUGAAAUUCUUGGAUUCGCUGAAGACUAACUUAUGCGAAAGCAUU
rnacentral:rRNA from 1 species